GUAGUCAUAUGCUUGUCUCAAAGAUUAAGCCAUGCAAGUCUAAGUUUAAGCACUCAAACGGCGAAACUGCGAAUGGCUCAUUAAAUCAGUUAUCGUAUAUUUGAUAGUACCUACUACAUGGAUAACCGUGGUAAUUCUAGAGCUAAUACAUGCUUAAAACCCCGACUUCGGAAGGGGUGUAUUUAUUAGAUUAAAAACCAAUGCCCUUCGGGGCUCACUGGUGAUUCAUAAUAACUUCUCGAAUCGCAUGGCCUUGUGCCGGCGAUGGUUCAUUCAAAUUUCUGCCCUAUCAACUUUCGACGGCUGGGUAUUGGCCAGCCGUGGUUACAACGGGUAACGGAGGGUUAGGGCUUGACCCCGGAGAAGGAGCCUGAGAAACGGCUACUACAUCCAAGGAAGGCAGCAGGCGCGCAAAUUACCCAAUCCCGAUACGGGGAGGUAGUGACAAUAAAUACUGAUACAGGGCUCUUUUGGGUCUUGUAAUUGGAAUGAGUACAAUUUAAAUCCCUUAACGAGGAACAAUUGGAGGGCAAGUCUGGUGCCAGCAGCCGCGGUAAUUCCAGCUCCAAUAGCGUAUAUUAAAGUUGUUGCAGUUAAAAAGCUCGUAGUUGAACCUUGGGCCUGGCUGGCCGGUCUGCCUCACCGCAUGCACUGGUCCGGCCGGGCCUUUCCCUCUGGGGAGCCGCAUGCCCUUCAUUGGGUGUGUCGGGGAACCAGGACUUUUACUGUGAAAAAAUUAGAGUGUUCAAAGCAGGCCUAUGCUCGAAUACAUUAGCAUGGAAUAAUAGAAUAGGACGUUUGGUUCUAUUUUGUUGGUUU
rnacentral:rRNA from 1 species